rnacentral:misc_RNA from 1 species
AACUGAGCUAUCCCGACCAUUCACAGCGGAGUAUCCCAUACUUACUUAUUUUAGUAUUUUAUUCGCUGCCUGGGGUCUAUGUCAAUUAAAGGAGAUUCCAAAGUUUUCUCCAAGUCCUGUAAGUUUUUUUGAUCUUCAAAAAAAAAAAAAAGACAACUUUCGAAGUUGCAGUCGUAGUAAAGCUAGUGAUUGUGAAUCAUUUAAAUUUGAAUCGGGAUUCUUUGCUAAUGUAUUCGAUUGUUAGAAGAGAAAGUCAUUUCCGCCCAACUCCGUUUGGCAAAGAAUCUGCAAGAGAAAGCAGUUUGGAACUCUGGCUAGGAUAACUAGUUUGGAAUUCAACUUUUUUGGGGAUAGAGGGACUUGAACCCUCACGAUUUAAAAAGUCAACGGAUUUUCCUCUUACUAUAAAUUUCAUUCUUGCCGGUAGUGACAUGUAGAAGGGGACUCUAUCUUUAUUCUUGUCCGAUUGAUCUGGUCUUAAAAAGGUUUAUCGGACUAGGCUAGGGAGUGAAUGAGUUGAUCGAUUUUUUAUUCAAUGUCUAAUGAAUGAAUUGACACCAAUUCUUCUAUUUUUCAUCUAAAAAAGAUACAGUUAUAGAUUUCGGCCAGCAUUAAUAUCUUAAUUAUUAAAUGCAAAUAAUCGUAUUCAAUAGAGAGGUGUAUCCUUGAUCCUUUCUGAUCUUUCGACAGUAAGAUUCUUCUCCGGGUGCACCCAUUUAUUAGAACAGCUUCCAUUGAGUCCUGCGCCUAUCCUAUCCUUUUUUUUUUUAUGAACCUUUCUUUUUCGAAAACAGGAUUUGGCUCAGGAUUGCCCUUUUUAGUAAUUCCGGGGUUUCUCUGAAUUUGAAAGUUCUCACCUAGUAGGUUUCCAUAC